rnacentral:misc_RNA from 1 species
GCAUCUUGGGGGUUGUUUUGAUUGGUUUGUUUCCGGUGGUUGGCUCUCUGCUUACGCAACAACUUCCACCUGGCAUACCUCUUCAGUUGCACAUCGAGGAUUUAUUGCCUUGAUUGCAUUAUGGUUUCUUGUGUUGUAUACCUGUGCGAUGGUAUCGUUUGGAUUCAUCAAUUUCUAUUUCAUCUUUCGUCAUGCUUGUGGCGUGGGAUGAACCCUGAAACGAUCUCUUUGGUCUACGAUGUUGACACGUGAUGUCUAUUUUAUGGCCCGUUGAGCAUUGCUUGGUUUCAUGGAUACGGAACAUUAUGUGGGCGUUGGGUCUCAAAUGAUCCUUGUUUUGUCCAAUCAGCGUUAUUGUUUCUCUAAGAUGACCUCUAGCCCGAAUUGGCUCGUACCAUCGGGUGGGAUAUGUUAUCAAAGAGAGAUACUGACGUUCUCGCUUCUCAAAAGCGACCACCUAGCCUGAUGGCUUUUGCCAGCGGGUGGGUGAUGUCGAAUAGGGAUGCUACCUGGUUGAUCCUGCCAGUAGUCAUAUGCUUGUCUCAA